UACGUAGGUGGCAAGCGUUGUUCGGAAUUAUUGGGCGUAAAGGGCGCGUAGGCGGCUUGUUAAGUCGGCUGUGAAAGCCCGGGGCUCAACCCCGGAGGGUCAGCCGAUACUGGCAGGCUAGAGUACGGAAGAGGUAGCUGGAAUUCCCGGUGUAGCGGUGAAAUGCGCAGAUAUCAGGAGGAACACCAAUUGCGAAGGCAGCUCGCUGGGACGUUACUGACGCUGAGACGCGAAAGCGUGGGGAGCAAACAGG
rnacentral:rRNA from 1 species